rnacentral:rRNA from 1 species
CAAGUCGAACGCUUGAUUUCCGGUAGCAAUAUUGGGAGUCAGGAGUGGCGCAAGGGUGCGUAACACGUGGAUCAUCUGCCUGGAAGUUCGGAAUAAUUCGGCGAAAGCCGGACUAAUGCCGGAUGUGGUUGGAAGACUAAAGUUGGGGACCGCAAGGCCUGACGCUUCCAGAUGAGUCCGCGGCCUAUCAGCUAGUUGGCGGGGUAACGGCCCACCAAGGCGAAGACGGGUAGCUGGUCUGAGAGGACGACCAGCCUCACUGGAACUGAGACACGGUCCAGACACCUACGGGUGGCAGCAGUCGAGAAUUUUUCUCAAUGGGGGAAACCCUGAAGGAGCGACGCCGCGUGGGGGAUGAAGGGCUUCGGCCCGUAAACCCCUGUCAUUUGCGAACAAAUGUCAUGGUUGAACAUUCCAUGGCUUGAUUGUAGCGAAAGAGGAAGGGACGGCUAACUCUGUGCCAGCAGCCGCGGUAAUACAGAGGUCCCGAGCGUUGUUCGGAUUCACUGGGCGUAAAGGGUGCGCAGGUGGGUUUGCAAGUUUGAUGUGAAAGCCCCGGGCUUAACCCGGGAAUGGCAUUGAAUACUGCAGAUCUGGAGGAUUGGAGGGGGGACUGGAAUUCUUGGUGUAGCAGUGAAAUGCGUAGAUAUCAAGAGGAACACCAGUGGCGAAGGCGAGUCCCUGGACAAUACCUGACACUGAGGCACGAAAGCCAAGGGAGCAAACAGGAUUAGAUACCCUGGUAGUCUUGGCUGUAAACGGUGCGCAUUUGCUGUAAACGGAAUCGACCCCGUCUGUGGCGAAGCUAACGCGAUAAAUGCGCCGCCUGGGAAGUACGGUCGC